AACGAACGUUGGCGGCGUGGAUUAGGCAUGCAAGUCGAACGAAUCUCAGCUUUGUAGCAAUACCGAGCUGGGGGAAGUGGCGAAAGGGGCAGUAAUACAUGGGCAACCUACCCCGGGGACGGGGAUAGCCUUCCUAACGGAUGGGUAAUACCUGGCGAUUUGGUUGAGGGGCAUCUCUCGACCAGGAAAUGAAUUUCGCCUCGGGAGGGGCUCAUGCGAUAUUAGCUAGUUGGUGGGGUAACGGCCCACCAAGGCGAAGAUGUCUAGCGGGUGUGAGAGCACGACCCGCGCCACUGGCACUGAGACACUGGCCAGACACCUACGGGUGGCUGCAGGUCGAGGAUCUUCGGGCAAUGGGCNCAAGCCUGACCGAGCGACGCCGCGUGGACGAUGAAGGCCU
rnacentral:rRNA from 1 species